GUGAGUGAAGAAGGCCUCGGGUUGUAAAGCUCUUUCAGACGGAAAGAAAACCGACCCCUCCUAAGUACGGGGGGUGGAUGACGGUACUGUCAGAAGAAGCACCGGCUAACGUACGUGCCAGCAGCCGCGGUAAUACGUAGGGUGCGAGCGUUAAUCGGAAUUACUGGGCGUAAAGCGUGCGCAGGCGGUUGUGUAAGACAGGUGUGAAAUCCCCCGGGCUUAACCUGGGAACUGCGCUUGUGACUGCACGGCUAGAGUACGGCAGAGGGGGGUGGAAUUCCACGUGUAGCAGUGAAAUGCGUAGAUAUGUGGAGGAACACCGAUGGCGAAGGCAGCCCCCUGGGCCGAUACUGACGCUCAUGCACGAAAGCGUGGGGAGCAAACAGGAUUAGAUACCCUGGUAGUCCACGCCCUAAACGAUGUCGACUAGUCGUUCGGAGAGGUAACUCACUGAGUGACGCAGCUAACGCGUGAAGUCGACCGCCUGGGGAGUACGGCCGCAAGGUUA
rnacentral:rRNA from 1 species